AGCAGCCGCGGUAAUUCCAGCUCCAAUAGCGUAUAUUAAAGUUGUUGCAGUUAAAAAGCUCGUAGUUGAAUUUCGAGACCGGUUUACUGGUCGUGCUUUUGUACGUACUGGUAUUAUUGGUUUCUCCUUUCUGACGAACUAUAAUGCCAUUAAUUUGGUGUUUUAGGGAAUCAGGACUGUUACUUUGAAAAAUUAGAGUGUUUAAAGCAGGCUCACGCUUGAAUACAUUAGCAUGGAAUAACGGAAUAGGACGUUUGAUUCUAUUUUGUUGGUUUCUAGGAUCGACGUAAUGAUUAAUAGGGAUAGUUGGGGGUAUUAGUAUUCAAUUGUCAGAGGUGAAAUUCUUGGAUUUAUUGAAGACUAACUACUGCGAAAGCAUUUGCCAAGGAUGUUUUCAUUAAUCAAGAACGAAAGUUAGGGGAUCGAAGACGAUCAGAUACCGUCGUAGUCUUAACCAUGAACUAUGCCGACUAGGGAUCGGAUGAUGUUAAUUUUUU
rnacentral:rRNA from 1 species